rnacentral:sRNA from 1 species
GCUGGGCAUGGAGGCUCAUGCCUGUAAUCCCAAUGGCUUGGGAGGCUGAGACAGGAGGAUCUCAAGUUCAAAGCCAGCCUCAGCAAAAACUGAGGAGCUAAGCAACUCAGUGAGACCCUGUCUCUA